rnacentral:rRNA from 1 species
UACAGAGGGUGCAAGCGUUAAUCGGAAUUACUGGGCGUAAAGCGUGCGUAGACGGUUAGAUAAGUCGGAUGUGAAAGCCCCGGGCUCAACCUGGGAAUUGCAUUCGAGACUGCCUAGCUAGGAUGCGGAAGAGGGAAGCGGAAUUUCCGGUGUAGCGGUGAAAUGCGUAGAUAUCAGGAGGAACACCGGUGGCGAAGGCGGGUCUCUGGGCAGUAACUGACGCUGAGGAGCGAAAGCGUGGGGAGCGAACAGG